GGACUGAGACACGGCCCAUACACCUACGGGUGGCAGCAGUGAGGAAUCUUCCACAAUGGACGAAAGUCUGAUGGAGCGACACCGCGUGAAGGAUGAAGGUUUUGUUAUUGUAAACUUCUUUUCUCAGGGACGAUAAUGACGGUACCUGAGGAAUAAGGGACGGCUAACUAUGUGCCAGCAGCCGCGGUAAUACAUAGGUCCCAAGCGUUAUCCGGAAUUACUGGGCGUAAAGCGUCUGCAGGUUGAAAAGUGUGUGAGACGUGAAAGACCGGGGCUCAACCCCGUGUUUGUGUCUCAAACUGCUUUUCUGGAGUGAGCAAGAGGUAUGCGGAAUUUAUGGAGUAGGAGUGCAAUCCGUUGACACCAUAAAGAACAUCAAAAGCGAAGGCAGCAUACUGGGGCUCUACUGACACUCAGAGACGAAAGCGUGGGGAGCGAAAGGGAUUAGAUACCCCUGUAGUCCACGCCCUAAACUAUGAUGACUAGGUGUUGGUCCUUCGGGAUCAGUGCCGUAGCUAACGCGUUAAGUCAUCCGCCUGAGUAGUACGACCGCAAGGUUAAAACUCAAAUGAAUAGACGGGGGCCCACACAAGCAGGGGAUCAUGCGGUUUAAUCCGAUACUGAAGGAGGAACUUUACCCAGACUUGAUAUCUAGAAAACCCUGUAGAAAUAUGGGGGUGCCCGCAAGGGAAUUCUAAGACAGGUGCUGCAUGGUUGCCGUCAGCUCGUGCCUUGAGGUGUUCGGUUGAGUCCGUUAACGAGCGAAACCCAUGUCGUUAGUUACUAUGUCUAACGAGACUGCCCGAGUUAAUCGGGAGGAAGGUGUGGAUGACGUCAAAUCAGCAUGGCCCUUAUGUCUGGGGCUACACGCAUGAUACAAUGGUCGGUACAAAGAGUCGCAAACUGGCGACAGUAAGCUAAUCUCAUAAAGCCGAUCUCAGUCCGGAUUGUAGGCUGCAACUCGCCUACAUGAAGUUGGAAUUGCUAGUAAUAGUGAAUCAGAUAUGUCACGGUGAAUAUGAUGCUGGGUCUUGUA
rnacentral:rRNA from 1 species